rnacentral:rRNA from 1 species
AACGAACGCUGGCGGCAGGCCUAACACAUGCAAGUCGAACGGACCCUUCGGGGUUAGUGGCGCACGGGUGCGGAACACGUGGGAACAUACCCUUUGGUAAGGAAUAAUAUUUGGAAACGAAUACUAAUACCUUAUAAUAUCUUCGGAUCAAAGAUUUAUCGCCAAAGGAUUGGCCCGCGUCUGAUUAGCUUGUUGGUGAGGUAAUGGCUCACCAAGGCUACGAUCAGUAGGGGGUCUGAGAGGAUGAUCCCCCANACUGGGACUGAGACACGGCCCAGACUCCUACGGGAGGCAGCAGUGAGGAAUAUUGCACAAUGGAGGAAACUCUGAUGCAGCCAUGCCGCGUGAGUGAAGAAGGCCUUAGGGUUGUAAAGCUCUUUCAAUGGUGAAGAUAAUGACGGUAGCCAUAGAAGAAG